rnacentral:rRNA from 1 species
ACGGCUCAGUAACACGUGGCUAACCUGCCCUUGGGACGGGGACAACCCCGGGAAACUGGGGUUAAUCCCAGAUAGGUGAGAACUCCUGGAAUGGAUUUUCAUCGAAAAGGUGUUGAAGCAUGCUUUCAACGGCGUCCGAGGAUGGGACCGCGGCCGAUCAGGUUGUUGGUGAGGUAACGGCUCACCAAGCCUUUAACCGGUACGGGCCGUGAGAGCGGGAGCCCGGAGAUGGAAUCUGAGACAAAAUUCCAGGCCCUACGGGGCGCAGCAGUCGCGAAAACUCCGCAAUACGCGAAAGCGUGACGGGGCCAUCCCGAGUGCCAUCCGCUGAGGAUGGCUUUUCCCCAGUGUAAUGAGCUGGAGGCAAUAAAAGGAGGGCAAGGAUGGUGUCAGCCGCCGCGGUAAAACCAACUCCUUGAGUGGUGAGGAUUAUUAUUGGGCUUAAAGCGUUCGUAGCUGGCCUGACUAGUCCCGCGUUAAAUCCAACGACCUAAUCGUUGGGCUGCGGGGGACACGGUCAGGCUUGGGGGCGGGAGAGGUUAGCGGUAUUCCCGGGGUAGGGGUAAAAUCUUAUAAUCCCGGGAGGACCACCAGUGGCGAAGGCUGCUAACCAGAACGCGCCCGACGGUGAGGGACGAAAGCUGGGGGAGCGAACCGGAUUAGAUACCCGGGUAGUCCCAGCCGUAAACGAUGCAGGCUAGCUGUUGGGAUGGCCACGAGCCAUUUCAGUGGCGCAGGGAAGCCGUUAAGCCUGCCGCCUGGGAAGUAAGAUCGCAAGAUUGAAACUUAAAGGAAUUGGCGGGGGAG